rnacentral:lncRNA from 1 species
GACGGCCUGGUCCCAAGAAAGUCCUCAGUAAAUGUCAUCCAACAGAAUAAAAAAUGAACUCCGGCAUUCACUUAUUUUUAAAAAAAUCUGUUUACACUUCGUGCUUGUAUUCCUUCUUGUGGGGAAACUCGAGUUGGGUAAAUUUACCCUUCGCCGUUGGAGGAAGAAUCCCUUUAAUUCGCCCUCAACUACUUCUUUGGAGCUCGAAGUGGCCGCCCGUCGUCGUCCAAGGCUUGGUGUUCCCUUUCCCUACCCCCUCAAAGUGUUGCCUGCCCCUAUAAGGUGCAGAACUCACCAACGAGUCAAGCAAAUCCAUCCCGCUGAGAUCCUGGCGGACCGCGGGAGGGGCACCUGUCAACACAGAGGUGUCUCCGUCUUUGCUAUCCUUUUGGUUCCUCUUCCUAAGCCGUGCCCAUCACAGAAUGGUACCCCAUGUCUCCUGGACUCGAAUUGUUAAUGUCUGUGAUGCCUUGAGGCUUUGGUUUUUUGGGUUUUUUUUUUUUUUUUUUGUCUUUUCUAGGGCCGCACCCACGGCAUAUGGAGGUUCCCAGGCUAGGGGUUGAAUUGGAGCUGUAGCUGCCAGCCUACGCCAGAGCCACAGCAACACGGGAUCCGAGCUGCGUCUGCGAUCUACACCACAGCUCACAGCAACGCCGGAUCCUUAACUUACUGAGUGAGGCCAGGGGUUGAACCCACGACCUCAUGGUUCCAAGUCAGAGUCGUUAACCACUGAGCCACGACGGAAACUCCAAGGCUUUGAUGUUUUUGCUGCGUUGAGGCUCAGUGACUUUCCACAGCUGCUGUAGACGUGGAAAGAACAAACGAGAAGCUGGAACUCCCCAGCCUUGGCUCCUAAUGUGCAGCUCAGGGAGAUUCCAGUGAAAACAACUGGUGGGAAGACGUUGGUGUGAGUUCAAGACCCAUCAGUCCUGUGGCGGCCACGUCGAGACAGGAGAGAAAGACUUUGAUCUUUGCUCUGAAAGGUUACAGCUUCCGGUCCGUGUGUGUGACCCUCCCUGCUCUGCAGACGUGUGCGUGGCCCUCCCAUCAGCCCACCUUGCUUCCAGGAGUGAGUGGACAGAGGGAUGGACCCUCUCCAAGACGUCGGACCAGGCUCAAGUGUUCCUUGUUCCAGCUUGGGCUUCAUCAUGGCCAGAAGGGCCGUUUCCUUUGUCUCAACCUCCCCAUGACUUAACUCUUGCCGGGGUGGCAACAAGGACCCUUUGCUGGGAUUUCCAAGAAUGGCCGUGGCCAGUCCCUUACCAGGAGGGCUCUCGGGUGCGUCUUGGUUCUUUCCCCGUCCAGGACCUCCCAGAAGCCUUUGUUGCUCAUGACACACCAUUUUAUUCAAAUGCAAAUGUUAUUUUUUGGGAAUCAGAGUCUAAGAUUGCACAAUGAUGGAAAAGCUGAUGGAAAUCAAACCUCUCUCUUUGUACUUCACUGGCCCUCAUAACAAGUUAUUAACGAGUACUUGCUAAGGGCCAGGCCCUGUUCUGACUGUUUCCCAUGUUUUAACCAUCUCGUGCUCACGGCAGCCCCAUCGGAGAAGGAUGCCGUCGUCAUCCGCCCGUGUUACAACAGAUGGGGAGCCGGACCGGGGGCCAAGCUUGGAAGUGAAGCUGUCAGGAUUUGAGCUCAGGCCAGCUAGCUCCAGAUGAUGGCACGAGCGGGCAGCCUGCAGCCUCGGUUGUAAUCCUGGGUGAUGCAGCUUGGGAGGCAGUUGCUGCUCAGAGAGGUGGAGUGACUUGAGCAGAGACACAGCGCUGAUGGAGUCAGGAUUCACAUUCGUCAGUCUGGAUCCUCCUUCCCCUGGACGGACUUUGUUAGCUUCCAGAGAAGGAUAGAUUAUCUUUUCCUGAGUGUCUGCUCCGUGCCAGGCACUGUCUGUGUGUGUUCACAUGUCUUAUCUGCUAAAACCUAGAGAGGGAGUUCCUGCUGUGGCGCAGUGGGCUUGGCGGUGUCUCUACAGCGCCAGGACGGAGGUUUGAUCCUUGGCUGGUGCAGUGGGUUAAAGAAAGAUUUGGCAUUGCUGCAGCUGCAGCACAGGUUGCAGCUGUGGCUCGGAUCUGAUCCCUGGCCUAGGAAUUCCAUAUACCACAGGGUGGCCAAAAAGGAAAAAUAAUAAAAAUAAAAAUGAGGAGUUCCCA